rnacentral:rRNA from 1 species
AACGAACGCUGGCGGCAUACCUAACACAUGCAAGUCGAACGAAGGCUUCGGCCUUAGUGGCGCACGGGUGCGUAACGCGUGGGAAUCUGCCCCUCGGUUCGGAAUAACAGUUAGAAAUGACUGCUAAUACCGGAUGAUGACUUCGGUCCAAAGAUUUAUCGCCGAGGGAUGAGCCCGCGUAGGAUUAGCUAGUUGGGGGGGUUAUGGCCUACCAAGGCGACGAUCCUUAGCUGGUCUGAGAGGAUGAUCAACCACACUGGGACGAAGACCCGGCCGAGACUCCUCAGGGGGGCAGCAGGGGGGAAUAUUGGACAAGGUGCGAAAGCCUGAUCCAGCAAUGCCGCGUGAGUGAUGAAGGCCUUAGGGUUGUAAAGCUCUUUUACCAGGGAUGAUACUGACGGUACCUGGAGAAUAAGCGCCGGCUAACUCCGUGCCAGCCGCCGCGGUAACAC